ACUCAAAUGAAUAGACGGGGACCCGCACAAGCAGCGGAGCAUGUGGUUUAAUUCGAAGCAACGCGAAGAACCUUACCAAGGCUUGACAUCCCUUGACCGCCAUAGAGAUAUGGCUUCCCUUCGGGGCAAGGAGACAGGUGGUGCAUGGUUGUCGUCAGCUCGUGUCGUGAGAUGUUGGGUUAAGUCCCGCAACGAGCGCAACCCUUAUCAUUAGUUGCCAGCACGUAAAGGUGGGAACUCUAAUGAGACUGCCGGGGAUAACUCGGAGGAAGGUGGGGACGACGUCAAAUCAUCAUGCCCCUUAUGUCUUGGGCUACACACGUGCUACAAUGGCCGGUACAAAGAGCAGCGAAGCCGUAAGGCGGAGCGAAUCUCAUAAAACCGGUCCCAGUUCGGAUCGUGGGCUGCAACCCGCCCACGUGAAGCCGGAGUUGCUAGUAAUCGCGAAUCAGCAUGUCGCGGUGAAUGCGUUCCCGGGUCUUGUACACACCGCCCGU
rnacentral:rRNA from 1 species